GGGGGGAAGUGGCAGCAUAUCCAGUGUUCAGGAGACCAAGAGGGGCACGUUAGGGGGGAAGUGGCAGCAUAUCCAGUGUUCAGGAGACCAAGAGGGGCACGUUAGGGGGGAAAGUGGCAGCAUAUCCAGUGUUCAGGAGACCAAGAGGGGACAAGUUAGGGGGGAAAGUGGCAGCAUAUCCAGUGUUCAGGAGACCAAGAGGGGCACGUUAGGGGGGAAAGUGGCAGCAUAUCCAGUGUUCAGGAGACCAAGAGGGGCACGUUAGGGGGGAAAGUGGCAGCAUAUCCAGUGUUCAGGUGUCUUACUUCAUUAUGAAACUCAGGUGUAAGAUCUCUGGAACACAUCAUGAUCAGUGGCUGGCACACAGAAGGGACUUUAUCCUCACUAAUCUGCCCAACUUUCAAAACAGCAGAAAAUGAUUCUACUAUUUUUUGCAGUGGUGUGGAACCUAGUGUCCAAGUUACUUAGGAUGUUGUCCAUAGCAGUUAAAAACCACUGUUUCCAAAACACCAUUACUGCACUGUCCUGAGCUGUCUCCUCUUGAGAGGUCUCAUCAUGGAAUCUCUUCCCUUUCCUCUGGUGGUUGUGUUCCGUGCUACAUUGAGGUGCAUCAUCCCAGUGUUGCCUCAGACAGGAGAGACUCCCAUCCAUCUCUAAGAGCCUGCAUCUCUUCCUUUAAGGCUAUUGAUAUUGGCUGCCACUGUGUCAAGUGAGAUUUGUCCUGACUGGAGAAUCACAUUCCUGUCCUCAAUGAAUUGCAGAACCUGCAAUUAUGCCAACUGACAUGUCAUUCAACACAAUGCUGCUCACCUCCUUCAGUUGGGAGACAGGGCUGGUUCAGGGGUAUGGGGAUGGGGAGACAGGGCAGGUUCAGGGGUAUGGGGAUGGGGAGACAGGGCUGGUUCAGGGGGAUGGGGAUGGGGAGACGGGGCUGGUUCGGGGGGGAUGGGGAGACAGGGCUGGUGAGCCUGAAGCUGUAUCUGGAGGGCCUGGCACCAGGCAGGGGCAGGGACAACGGAUUUAGUAUGAAUAGCUUGCUAAAGGUUUUCUUGCAUUGAUUAAAUGUCGGAUAAAAGAGGAGCGAAAUGUAAACAUUCAACAUUUUCCGUGAAGAUAUGAAGUAACUAAUGUUAGGGGAGCAAAAGUAGCCUGUUUCACUAUGGACUAAACUAACAGGUUCAUUUCCACCACUCACGGACUACACACUCCUUCCUUUGUGAAGAAAUGGGUGACAUUCUGUCACCGUUUCUUUUCUCUCUCCUGUCUUUCUUUUCUUUCUUUCCGUUUUUGGAAGCCAGAUUUUUAUUUUGGAAGCUGAGACAUGGGCAAUUCACUGCUAGCAAGUACCGCCUGGUUUGGGGGCAGGACCGAACCAUUUCAUGUAAAUAGAGAGGGGGGGGCGAGGCUCUCUGGAUGUUUACUUUUUGCCAAAAACAAGAAAGGAAAACGAAACCGUUCGUUUUAUUAGUACAUUGUAAAUCAAAUAUUAUAUUAUUAUUAUAAUAGGUUAAUAAUUUAAUAUUGAAAAAAAUAUAUACCUAAUGUUCUAAUAAUUGUUUAGGGCCCCUGUCAGUCACAGGCCCUUAGAACAGUCCUAACUUUCCCCCCUAUAUGGCGCCCCUGCAGGGGAUCAAUAACAUGGGCCUGGUUUAGUUGGAAGCCCUUUCACCACGUCAAGGUACAGGCCGAGAGAAGGAUUUCGUUUUUUAAUUAAGGCCUUUAACCCCCUGCUCUAUCUUUGUAGUGUGUGACUUGAUGGGGCUUGGAUAGGUGUAGCAAUAUGGUGCUGACUCAACCCAGCUGUGAAAUGGGCUUGGAUAGGUGUAGCAAUAUGGUGCUGACUCAACCCGGCUGUGUAAUGGGCUUGGAUAGGUGAAGCAAUAUGGUGAUGACUCAACCCGGCUGUGUAAUGGGCUUGGAUAGGUGUAGCAAUAUGGUGAUGACUCAACCCGGCUGUGUAAUGGACUUGGAUAGGUGUAGCAAUAUGGUGAUGACUCAACCCGGCUGUGAAAUGGGCUUGGAUAGGUGUAGCAAUAUGGUGAUGACUCAACCCGGCUGUGAAAUGGGCUUGGAUAGGUGUAGCAAUAUGGUGAUGACUCAACCCGGCUGUGUAAUGGACUUGGAUAGGUGUAGCAAUAUGGUGCUGACUCAACCCGGCUGUGUAAUGGACUCCGGGACACUUCUGCCAUAUUACAUACACAAAUCUAGAACCUCCAGAUAUGCAAACACUAACUAAAAACCAAUGUCCAAUUCCAUACCAACCCUGGUCUAAAAUUAGAUUUGGAAUUGGACACAGAAGAUGAAUGGCUAGGGAGAAGGGGUUAAGGACCAGGUAGCCUAGUGGUUAGAGCACUGUGCCAGUAACCAAAAGGUUGCUAGAUUGAAUCCCUGAGCUGACAAAGUAAAAGUCUGUUGUUCUGCCCCUGAACAAGGCAGUUAACCCAGAGUUCCUAGGCCGUCAUUGAAAAUAAGCGUUUGUUCUUGCCUAUUUAAACAAAGGUUACAUUUUUUUUUUUUUUUUUUUAAGUCUGUAACUGGGCAACUGAACAGUGAAUUUCAGUCAAUUGAACAUUUUACUUGCAAUGAAUACAUUUAAUAUGCAAAUGUAUACAUUUACAGCCAAUUCGAGCAAGUUUCAAAUAUUUACCAGCAAACAAAUGGAAAAAUAUACAAAUAUUUACAUGCUUGUAAACAUUACUUGGAAUACAAGACAGAUACGUAUGCUAUAUACUUACCAAACAACUUACCAUCUUCACAGCCAAUAUCUGAAAAAAAACCCCACAUCUUUAUACAAAUUUAAAACAAUAUUUCAACCGGUUAGGCAGGACACAGGUAGCCUUCACACGCCUGAAUUCCUCCAGGAGGCAGUCCCAGAUGACCCUGGUCACCCAACCUUGCAGUGCCCUACACGGUAACUGUAGGCAAUCGUUUUGAAGGAAUCUCCAGUUACAAGGUAUCUGUAGGAAUAUGGAAGACAAUGUAAUUAUUAGACUGUUACAUCACCAGGUCAUUGUGGAUUACUAAAGUAUAAUAUCCCUG
rnacentral:lncRNA from 1 species